rnacentral:rRNA from 1 species
ACCAAUACUAGCCUAACUUCACUCCCCCCAACAAAUAUAAAACACUCAACUAAAUCAUUUACCACAAAUCAUUAACAGUAUAGGAGAUAGAAAUUUUACCUAGCGCUAUAGUAACAGUACCGUAAGGGAAAGAUGAAAGAAUAUUUUAAAGUACAAAAAAGCAAAGCCUACCCCUUGUACCUUUUGCAUAAUGACUUAACCAGAAGCAGCUUGACAAAAAGAAUUUCAGUCAGAAGACCCGAAACUAGACGAGCUACUCACAGAUAGUCAUAUAAGGACGCACUCACCUAUGUAGCAAAAUAGUGAAAAAAUCUGCGAGUAGAGGUGAAAAGCCUAACGAGCCUAGUGAUAGCUGGUUGUCCAGGAGAGAAUUUUANNNNNNNNNNNNNNNNNNNNAAAGUACCCACUAAACCUAGCGUAAAUUUAAAAGUUAAUCUAAAGAGGAACAGCUCUUUAGAUCAGGCUACAACCUUCAAUAGAGAGUAAAUAACUUUAACACCAUUGUUGGCCUAAAAGCAGCCAUCAACCAAGAAAGCGUUAAAGCUCAACACACAAUACCCCUCAAUUCCAACAAUUCACACUAAUCUCCUACUAAUCAACUGGACUAACCUAUUAUCCAAUAGGAGUAAUACUGUUAAUAUAAGUAACAAGAAUCCCCAUUCUCCACAGCGCAAGCUUAUAUCAGACCGAAUACUCACUGAUAGUUAACAGCAAAGUAAAAUAAAAUAUACCCUAGAUACCUUACUUCAAUAUAACUGUUAACCCAACACAGGAGCGCAUUAAGGAAAGAUUUAAAAAAGUAAAAGGAACUCGGCAAAAACUAACCCCGCCUGUUUACCAAAAACAUCACCUCCAGCAUAACCAGUAUUAGAGGCACUGCCUGCCCAGUGACACAUGUUUAACGGCCGCGGUAUCCUGACCGUGCAAAGGUAGCAUAAUCACUUGUUCUUUAAUUAAGGACUCGAAUGAAUGGCCAAACGAGGGUUAAACUGUCUCUUACUUUAGAUCAGUGAAAUUGACUUCCCCGUGAAGAGGCGGGGAUACAACAAUAAGACGAGAAGACCCUAUGGAGCUUAAAUUAAAUAACCCACACAGAUACAAAUAAACCUAGCCAACAGGCACAACUACUAUCAACCCUUGGGUUAAAAAUUUCGGUUGGGGUGACCUCGGAGCACAAUAAAACCUCCGAAUAAUUUUAACCUAGACUUCACCAGUCAAAGCAAACUAAAUUACCAACUGAUCCAAACUAAUUUGAUCAACGGAACAAGUUACCCUAGGGAUAACAGCGCAAUCCUAUUACAGAGUCCAUAUCGACAAUAGGGUUUACGACCUCGAUGUUGGAUCAGGACACCCCAAUGGUGUAACCGCUAUUAACGGCCCGUUUGUUCAACGGUUAAAGUCCUACGUGAUCUGAGUUCAGACCGGAGCGAUCCAGGUCGGUUUCUAUCUAUUUAAACGCUUCUCCCAGUACGAAAGGACAAGAGAAACAGAGCCAACUUAACAAAGAGCCCUCAGUUAAAUAGAUGAAGUAAACUUAAUCUAAUAUACCACUAAAAUUCUGCCCAAAACCAGGGCUU